CCUACCAGAACCCUGCCUAGUCUAAAGCAGUGAAGUAAAACUUGUUUUUAAUUUUGAAAACUAUUUUCAUGUAGUAAUAGUGAAAACAUCAGAAAGGACUUAUGACAAGAAUUACCAAUCUUUUUCCCUAAACACUCUUUGUCCAUCCUCCCAAUCAAUGCCUAGAGGCAAAAACUUUUAAUUCUCUUCAGUUUUACCUUUGAUGGUUACCGCCAUACCUCAAAAUAAUACACUAAGGCCACUCUUAGUGCUAUGUCAACUGGAGACAUUAUCCAUUUCUCCUGAUGGGCUAGAUGAGGAUUUACCUCACUUGCACCACCCCUACCUUCCCUUCCUCUCUCCUCCCAAUUUUUGAUAGCUAUAUUAGUAUUUUAAACUUCCUAUACUGCUUACCACAUACAUUUAAAGAGUAGAUAUAAACUACUGUUUCUUGUCCUGUUGCUUUCAAAUGCAUCUCUUGACCCCCCAUUUUGCAAAAUGAAGGUAUUUCCUUCCCAACCUUUUUUCUUCCCUUUUCACCUCCGUGUCUCUUUUUUUUUUUUUUUUUUUUUUUGAGACGGAGUCUCGCGCUCUCACCCAGGCGCGAUCUCGGCUCACUGCAAGCUCCGCCUCCGGGGUUCACGCCAUUCUGCUGCCUCAGCCUCUCCGAGGAGCUGGGACUACAGGCGCCCGCCACCACGCCCGGCUAAUUUUUUGUAUUUUUAGUAGAGACGGGGUUUCACCGUGGUCUCCAUCUCCUCACCUCGUGAUCCGCCCGCCUCGGCCUCCCAAAGUGCUGGGAUUACAAGCGUGAGCCACCGCGCCCGGCCUCGCCUCCAUGUUUCUGUUAAGUGAGGAGGUUGUCCUUCGAGAAGAAUCUGCUAGAAAGAAUUUCCAAUGCUUCUUAAUUUUGGAGGGCCACAACUGGCCAAGAGGGCCCCAAUUUACCUGACUUGGUUUCCAGGUCUCCCAGCACACUACUGUGGCCCUGAGAGAGCAGCUGUGAACUCAACUCAAGAAAAUCUCCUUCACGUUUCUCUGAGGCUGAUGGUCCAGCUGCUAUGUUGUGAGGUGCCCUAUGGAGUAGCCUAUGUGGCAAGUAACCAAAGGAGACCACCAGCUAACAGCUCAUGAGAGAAGGAGGCCUCUGUCCAGCACCCUGCAAUGAACUGAAUCUAUCCAACAACCACAGAAAUAAACUUGCAAGUGAGUUUCCCAGGUGAGUCUUCAGCUGAGAUCACAGCCCCAGUCAACAUUUUGAUGGAAGCCUGUAAGAGACCCUGGGACA